rnacentral:tRNA from 1 species
GGAGAGAUGGCUCAGUAGAUAAGAGCACUGGUAGUUGUUCCAGAGGACCUGGGUUCAAUUCCCAGCACCUGCA